rnacentral:pre_miRNA from 1 species
AGUUCUCAUCGUGAACUGGUGUACAGGAAAAUGACCUAUGAAUUGACAGACAGUGUGGCUGAGUAUGUCUGUCAUUCUGUAGGCCAAUAUUCUGUAUGUCUCCGCUACUUACA